UACAGAGGCCUCGAGCGUUAGGCGGAAUCACUGGGCGUAAAGGGUGCGUAGGCGGGUCUUUAAGUCAGGGGUGAAAUCCUGGAGCUCAACUCCAGAACUGCCUUUGAUACUGAGGAUCUUGAGUUCGGGAGAGGUGAGUGGAACUGCGAGUGUAGAGGUGAAAUUCGUAGAUAUUCGCAAGAACACCAGUGGCGAAGGCGGCUCACUGGCCCGAUACUGACGCUGAGGCACGAAAGCGUGGGGAGCAAACAGG
rnacentral:rRNA from 1 species